AUUGAACGCUGGCGGCAUGCUUUACACAUGCAAGUCGAACGGUAACAGGCCGCAAGGUGCUGACGAGUGGCGAACGGGUGAGUAAUGCAUCGGAACGUGCCCAGUCGUGGGGGAUAACGCAGCGAAAGCUGCGCUAAUACCGCAUACGAUCUAUGGAUGAAAGCGGGGGACCGUAAGGCCUCGCGCGAGUGGAGCGGCCGAUGUCAGAUUAGGUAGUUGGUGGGGUAAAGGCUCACCAAGCCAACGAUCUGUAGCUGGUCUGAGAGGACGACCAGCCCCACUGGGACUGCGACACGGCCCAGACUCCUACGGGAGGCAGCAGUGGGGAAUUUUGGAAAAUGGGCGCAAGCCUGAUCCAGCAAUGCCGCGUGCAGGAAGAAGGCCUUCGGGUUGUAAACUGCUUUUGUACGGAACGAAACGGUCCUGGUUAAUCCCUGGGGCUAAUGACGGUACCGUAAGAAUAAGCACCGGCUAACUACGUGCCAGCAGCCGCCGUAACAC
rnacentral:rRNA from 1 species